AGUGAACGCUGGCGGCAGGCCUAACACAUGCAAGUCGAACGGCAGCACGGCAGUAGCAAUACUGUGGGUGGCGAGUGGCGGACGGGUGAGGAAUACAUCGGGAUCUACCCUGUUGUGGGGGAUAACGUAGGGAAACUUACGCUAAUACCGCAUAAGAACUGAGGUUGAAAGCGGCGGACCGCAAGGCGUCGCGCGAUUGGAUGAACCGAUGUCCGAUUAGCUAGUUGGCGGGGUAAAGGCCCACCAAGGCGACGAUCGGUAGCUGGUCUGAGAGGACGACCAGCCACACUGGAACUGAGACACGGUCCAGACUCCUACGGGAGGCAGCAGUGGGGAAUAUUGGACAAUGGGCGCAAGCCUGAUCCAGCCAUGCCGCGUGGGUGAAGAA
rnacentral:rRNA from 1 species